GUAGGUGUCAAUCUAAAUUUUAUAAGUUUGUCUUAUAUUCUAUGGCCUACUUUGAGUUAUAUUAAUUCAGAUUUACCUCUUCCACAUCAAGGGUACUAAUCUGAGUUUGAUCUCAAUUUCAUUUUGAGAAGGGCUGGAGGUGCCUUAGCUGGCAGCACACUUGUCUGUUAGAGGUGGAGUUGGACAGUAGCAAUGAAAGAGGAAGCUUGCUAUGGAAACAGAUAAAGGAAGGAAGAAUGAAAUUGAUGAAGGAAAAAAAAACUGUGACCCAUUACCGAUGGAGAUUAAACCAAACAACCUAAAAAGGUUUGACCAACACCCAUUGACAUCGAGGAAUUUUCAUAUCCAUUACCAUUGUCAUUGAGGAAUUUUCACAUCAAGGGUACUAAUCUGAGUUUGAUCUCAAUUUCAUUUUCAGAAGGGCUGGAGGUGCCUUAGCUGGCAACGCAUUUGGCUGUUAGAGGUGGAGUUGGACAGUAGCAAUAAAAUAGGGAGCUUGUUAUGAAAAGAGAUAAAGGAAGGAAGAAUGAGACUGAUGAAGGGAGGGAGGGAAAAUAAACUAUAACCAUGGAGAUUAAACCAAACAACCUAAAAAGGCUUGACCAACAACCAUUAACAUUGAGGAAUUUUUAUAUCCAUUACCAUUUUCAUUCCGUAGUAUCUAACAAAUGGGUGGUCACCCAGCCAAAUUAGCAGCAUACCAUAUCAGAGCAAUUCAUUUUACCAAAAAGAGAAAGGACUCCAUCACUUGCUCUUAAAAGGAAGGAUGGAAGGUAAUAGGCAAGAGAGAACCAAUAUUACGUUUGUUCUCUUGAAAGUUACUGUGUAGCAAUUUCAAAGUCCUAGCAAGCAACAUUCUUGAAGAAUUACUUUGACGAAUCAAUAUUAUAAUGGUACAAGGUCAAAUAACGAGAAAGGGUUAGGACAAAGAGGCAUCAGUAAAUGUUUCCUGCCACAAGCAGUUGAUCAACUAGAACAGAUACUAUUGCAGGCCUCUAUGCAAGAAAGAAGUGGAAUUAGAUUUCACAAGCAUAGUUAACACCAAGAACAUUGCAUUAAUCAGAUCUCUAGAAAAUCUUUACUUUAGUUGAAUAACCAGGAUAAGACAUAAAACUUGAUAGCAAGAAAGUGCCACCAUAUUGUCACCAAAUGAGCCAACUUCACAUACUGAAAACCCAUCAAAAAUCACUAAAACACUCUAAUGAGACCUGAAAAUAUCAGGCAUGUUAAUGUCUACUAAGUGCCUCUCCACACCAACCUACCAAAAUUAGACGGACUAUUUUCCACCUAACUUCUUAACCCCAUAAAACCUGCUCAGCUGCAUUACCAUUGCAACUGAGAGCCAUAUCUUUGACGAGCAAUCUCAAUCACAUGCUUAAUUGUUCAUAAGAAAGAGUCAUUACAUUCUAUAGUGUUCACUUCAGUUUAUGUAUUUUGCUGGAAAUUCUGGGGUUCUCAAAAGAUAUUUUUC
rnacentral:lncRNA from 1 species